rnacentral:rRNA from 1 species
UGAGAUAACGUAAGGGAUAAUAAUGAUAUUACCUUACUAUUAGUGUCGUCCAAAACUGGUGCCAGAAGACUCGGUAAGGCCAGAGACGCAAACGUUAGUCUUAUUAACCAGGCGUAAAGGGUAUGUAGGCAGCUUUCAAAAUUUUAUUUUUAAUAUAGCCAUAGUAAAAUAAGACCAAUAAAAGCUAGAAUCAAAUUGAGGUUAAGCCAAAUAAUACUUAGAGUAGGGGCUGACAUCCGUAGAAACUAAGUAGAAUACUAAGAGCGUAAGCUUUUUAACCAUUACUGAUUGACGCUGAGAAACGAAGGUGAGGAUAGGAAUUAGGAUUAGAUACCCAGGUACCCCUCUCUGUAAACGAUGAAUGGUAAUUAUUCAUUAAAAAAAUGAGUGAUGAUGUUAACACGUUAACCAUUCCGCCUUGUGAGUACGAUUGCAAAGUUGAAAACAAAAAAAUUAGUCGG